rnacentral:snoRNA from 1 species
AACUUAUGAUGUGGAAUUGCAUGGACUAGUCAUUGCAACGCUCAUAGGCUUUAGCAAUGUUCUCAGUAGAAUACUGAGCAAAGGUAGCUAUCCUACUUCCAAGGUU